ACCGGCGCACGGGUGCGUAACACGUAUACAAUCUACCUAAAACAGGGGGAUAGCCUUUCGAAAGAGAGAUUAAUACCCCGUAAUAUAUUUGAUGGCAUCAUUGAAUAUUGAAAGCUCCGGCGGUUUUAGAUGAGUAUGCGUCUGAUUAGCUAGUUGGUGAGGUAACGGCUCACCAAGGCGACGAUCAGUAGGGGAUCUGAGAGGACUAACCCCCACACUGGUACUGAGACACGGACCAGACUCCUACGGGAGGCAGCAGUAAGGAAUAUUGGUCAAUGGAGGCAACUCUGAACCAGCCAUGCCGCGUGCAGGAAGAAGGCCCUAUGGGUCGUAAACUGCUUUUGUACCAGAGAAAACCCGAGUACGUGUACUCGGUUGAUAGUAUGGUAAGAAUAAGCAUCGGCUAACUUCGUGCCAGCAGCCGCGGUAAGACGAAGGAUGCAAGCGUUAUCCGGAUUCAUUGGGUUUAAAGGGUGCGUAGGCGGACUUGUAAGUCAGUGGUGAAAUCUCUCAGCUUAACUGAGAAACUGCCAUUGAUACUGCAGGUCUAGAGUAUAGAUGACGUUGGCGGAAUAUGACAUGUAGUGGUGAAAUACUUAGAUAUGUCAUAGAACACCGAUUGCGAAGGCAGCUAACGAAACUAUAACUGACGCUGAGGCACGAAAGUGCGGGGAUCAAACAGGAUUAGAUACCCUGGUAGUCCGCACCGUAAACGAUGAUUACUCGU
rnacentral:rRNA from 1 species